GACGAACGCUGGCGGCGUGCUUAACACAUGCAAGUCGAACGGAAAGGCCCUGCUUUUGUGGGGUGCUCGAGUGGCGAACGGGUGAGUAACACGUGUGUAACCUGCCCUUGUCUUUGGGAUAACUUCAGGAAACUGGGGCUAAUACCGGAUAGGAGCUCCUGCUGCAUGGUGGGGGUUGGAAAGUUUCGGCGGUUGGGGAUGGACUAGCGGCUUAUCAGCUUGUUGGUGGGGUAGUGGCUUACCAAGGCUUUGACGGGUAGGCGGCCUGUGAGGGUGACCGGCCACAUGGGGACUGAGAUACGGCGCAGACUCCUACGGGAGGCAGCAGUGGGGAAUAUUGCACAAUGGGCGGAAGCCUGAUGCAGCAACGCCGCGUGCGUGAUGACGUCCUUCGGGUUGUAAACCGCUGUCGCCUGUGACGAAGCGGGAGUGACGGUAAUGGGUAAAGAAGCACCGGCUAACUACGUG
rnacentral:rRNA from 1 species